AAUGAACGCUGGCGGCGUGCCUAACACAUGCAAGUCGGACGAGAACGGGGCUUCGGCCCUGAGUAGAGUGGCGCACGGGUGAGUAACGCGUAGGUAAUCUCCCUCUGGAUUGGGGAUAACUCUGCGAAAGUGGAGCUAAUACCGAAUGGUCUGGCUUUAUUUUGAUGAAGUCGGUAAAGGAUGCCUCUGCAUAUGCAUCUGUCCGGAGAUGAGCCUGCGUCCCAUUAGCUAGUUGGUAGGGUAAAGGCCUACCAAGGCGACGAUGGGUAGCUGGUCUGAGAGGAUGAUCAGCCACACUGGAACUGGAACACGGUCCAGACUCCUACGGGAGGCAGCAGUGGGGAAUAUUGGGCAAUGGGCGAAAGCCUGACCCAGCAACGCCGUGUGAGGGAUGAAGGCCUUCGGGUCGUAAACCUCUGUCAGAAGGGAAGAACGGGCACAGUUCGAAUAGGGCUGUGUUUUGACGGUGCCUUCAGAGGAAGCACCGGCUAACUCCGUG
rnacentral:rRNA from 1 species